AUUACAGGCAUGAGCCACUGCUCCCAGCUGAUAUUAGAAGUAUUAUAGAUGAGGCAUGUUAUAUACAUUCAACUCAACUAUACAUGCCUGACCAAAGCAGAAAAAAGAAGCAAAAAAGACAUUCACACACACACACACACACACACACACACACACACACAAUAUGGCAGCCAUGAACGUGUACCCCUUAAAUCUCCCUUUAGGCAAAAUUUGCCAUUCAGCUACAAGAAGUGCAGUUGGCAGACAGCCUUCAACUUCAGCAUCUUCAGAGUCUGCCUUGACUUUCAAGCUGAGGCCAUGGACUUCUCAGGAGCUCCUAGCCAAUGGCUGAGAACAACGUGAGUGCUAGGGCCAAAAGUGAUAUUCUUUCUUGCCAGUGUGGUGUUCCUCAGAUGGGCAGUUGUUGAUUUGGAGCUCCCUUUGAAGUUGGCCAAGUCUUUGUCAACUUUGGAUCGCAGUCAGAGGCUCCUCCUGCCUGAUCCUGCGUCCUCCCUCUUGUAUCUUUCUCAGGCAUUGCCCCCAAGAAACUGCACUCCUAACUCCAUCUCAGCAUCUGCUUCCCGGUCUGUCUCAUCCCACUGACAAAGAGGUGAGACAGAGAUGGGAAUGACAGAGAGAGGAGAAGGAGAGGGAGAACAAUUUACUUAUUAUUAUUAUUUUUCAAGUUCCAAUUGUUUAAUGGCAUGGGCUUAAGAGAGAUAACAAUUUAAAUGGGAUGGGCAGAGACAAGUAUGUGCUCCAGAGGGAAUGCGACGACAGAGAGCAGCCUCAGUCCCCAUUCUCCUGUGAGAAUGGCUCCUGUCUGAGUAUGAUUUUCAUGCAUAAUGUCACAUGGCCUCUGUAUUAGUCAGGGUUCCCCAGUAGGAUAUGUACAUAGAAAGAGAUUUAUUAUAAUAAGGCAUUCCCUCAUGCAAUUAUAGAGGCUAAGUCCCUAUAUCUGCAGUUGGCAGGCUGGAGACCCAGGAGAGCUGAAGGUGUAGUUCUAGUCCAAGUCCGAAGACCUGAGAACCAGGAGAGUCAGUGGUAUAAGUUUCAGUCUGAACCCUGCAGGUUAGAGACACAGGAAGAAUGGAUGCUUCCGUCCAAGUCUGAGACCGGAGAAGACACAUGUCCCAGCUCAAGCAGUCAGGCAAGAGGAAUUCCCUCUUAGCCUUUUUUCUGUUCACGUCUUCAAUGGAUUGGAUGAGGACCAUCUACACUGGGGAGGGUGAUCUACUUGACUCAGUCUACUGAUUCAAAUCUUAAUCUCCUCCAGAAACACCCUCACAAACACACCCGGAAUAGUGUUUAGUCAAAUGUCUAAGCACUCCAUGGGCCAGUCAAGUUGACACACAAAACUUGCCACCCCAGCUUCCUACAGAAGCCAACUCCCUCAAGAAGAGAUGAAGAUUCGGCUCUAUGUUGGUGGCGUGGCGUUGUGUACCUAGAACAAUGGAUUACAGCUGGGAAACUGAGUUCCAAAGGCAGGAAGAGACUUGCCUGGGGAGGCUGCUCUGGUCCUCAGGCCCUGGUCUUCGUGUGGGUCCCCAGGUGUGGUGGAAAUGGCGGGGUGGUGAGAGAGGGCUGGGGUCAUGAUGGAUGGAGAGGAUGUGAGUAGAGUGAUUGGGAGGAGUGGGGAUGGGAGGGGGACUUGUGGGUGUGUGGCAGGUGUGUGUGCAAUGUGCACACGUCUGCAUAUGAGCAUGUGUGGCUCCUACCAAAUGACCCCAGGUGAUGGAAUCUGGAAUGGAUGGGGAAAGGGAGUUGGGCAGGAGCCCAGCAGUGUCAGCUAGUUAAUAGAUAAAACCCAUUCUUUGGGAUUCUCAUUAGGGCGCUGAGGUCUCCAUCCACUUCAGACUCAACUUGUGUCCAUACAGACCUCACUGAGGGCUUCCAGCAGGCUGUUCUGCUCCCAGCUCUCCUGGGAGGAGUGGGCGUGGGUUUUAAUUCUUGCCCAGAGCCCUGCUGACAGGUGGUGCUCUGUCUGGAGGCGAACCUGGGGCCCAGCUCGGUGGAACCAUUUUCAGCUGUGUACCCCAGUAAGUGCUUGGCCUUUCAGAUCAUAGUUUCUCUCAUGUGCGUAAGAAGGGGUGGGUCAGGAUGGAGGCGGUUUCCAAACACCAGUCUUCCAUGCCAACAUCUGCCCCCUAGACUUGGCAAAAACCAGAACAAUAAGGACAAUGCCAUAAGUUGUUCAUGAAACUAAAUGCAUCCAGUCUAAUGGAUUAUCCUUUAUUCUGAGAUGACGUCCUUCCUUUUUUUGAUAUUCAAAUGCCCUUUUGAAAAUCAAAUGAUAGAAACUCUGUGUGUGUGUGCACGUGUGCGCAUUUGUAUGCUUGUGAAUAAAGGCAUGCUGAUGAAAGAAAGGCA